UUAUUUAUUGCAAUGUGACAUUUUUAUGUUCUCAGAUGCUGUAGAUUCUGAAUUAUCCUUUUGGCUUUUGUUUUUUUGGAUUUAGUUGCAAAGUGCAAUCUCCCAAAGGAAAAUGGUGUGGAUGAACGCCAUAUAAAUAUGAGAAUCAAUCAACCUGCUUCUGUGACUGUGGAAACUGAGAAGAAAAGUAUGUGUCAGCAAUUAAGUCAACUAAAACGUGAAGUACGUAUGGGGAUUCAACAUGAUGUAACUCAGCAAUAAGGAGUACCAGAUAGAAAUAAAGAAGAACACCGUGCAAUUUGUGAUGCAUAGCUGUGUAACUGAUAAUGUUUAAAAUCAGAAGCCGUUAUUUUGUGUUCCAGACUCAAGCUGAGAUAGGGGAAGCCAAGUGGCUAUGUACGGCUUCCAUCGGCUGUUUACUAAUUAGCAGUUUUUAACAAAGAUAUGGUAGGGAUAUUCUUUGAUACUUUUAAAAGAUAACAUAUAUUUUGUGCCUUUUUUUUCCUUGUACAGAUGGGAUAUUUGCACAUAGUUUGCUCAAAAAAUAACUGAUUUCAAUUGUUUUCCUACUAUUUCAUUUUAAGGUGGUGAUUGGCUGGGUUCGAGCUUUGAUUCUAGGGUACUGAAUGCAGCCAAUUAAAAUUAAAUCAAAAUCAUGUAGCAGAUUUGAUAAUGGCUAGUGUAGUCUUUGACAGAAUUUCUUCUACUUUAUGCUUAACCUGGUACUGAUCCCAGCAGAAACUUUUGUAUGUCUAAGCCUAGCCACAGCUACACAUGACUGUGUAUUAUACUACACAGCAACUUGAAUUCAGAUAUGAGUAUAUGACAUGAACGUAGACUUGUAUGGUAUGGAGUGCCAGAAGAGCUUGAAUUUGGCUGAUUCUUUAGGCCAAGUUUCCAAAAGGGUUCUUUUUACCUGUUAUAGAAUUUUAUCCCAUUUUAAGCUUUGAAGAGAGAUUUAAUUGCUAAAUUUUCAUGAUGCAAAGUGAAAAAUACUCCGAAUCACCAUCAUCUGUGCAAGUCAUUUGGGAUAACAUCAUCAGUGGUUAGUAAGAAAUUUGUAUCUUAGUGGGGGAGA